rnacentral:rRNA from 1 species
GAUGAACGCUAGCGGCAGGCCUAAUACAUGCAAGUCGAGCGGCAAGUCGAGGAGUAAUCUAAGACCUAGAGCGGCGCACGGGUGCGUAACGCGUAUGCAACCUACCUUAUACUGGGGGAUAGCCCGGAGAAAUCUGGAUUAAUACCCCAUGGCACAUAUUGAUGGCAUCUGAGAUAUGUUAAAGAUUUAUUGGUAUAAGAUGGGCAUGCGUCUGAUUAGCUAGUUGGCGGUGUAACGGACCACCAAGGCGACGAUCAGUAGGGGUUCUGAGAGGAAGGUCCCCCACACUGGCACUGAGAUACGGGCCAGACUCCUACGGGAGCAGCAGUAGGGAAUAUUGGGGCAAUGGUCGGAAGACUGACCCAGCCAUGCCGCGUGCAGGAAGACGGCCCUCUGGGGUUGUAAAACUGCUUUUANCUGGGAAGAAAAAAGGCCAUGCGUGGCAAAUUGCCGGUACCAGAUGAAUAAGCA